UUAGGUUACUGUAUUUUCGAUCUUGCCGUUCCAUCGUCGGGGCGACGAUUUAAGAAGAGGGGGUAGAAUGUGGCAGAGGGUAGCCUCACUCUGGGCGUCAGCACACCUAAUUCGGGGGAGCCAAUCACGGUGCGCGGGGCCCGGUAAAAGGGACGGAAGUGUUUGGUUCCCCCAUGACAUCAAGCACGGCUUCCGCCACGUUUGCGGACGCGUUGGGCUCCCCUCCUCCUGUACGGAGGUUAAUCACGGUGCGCGCUGCCGGCAGCUUGCCUCCUCCCACCUUCCAAGUGGAAUGCUUGGAAUGCUUGGAAUGCCCGACUGAUCGGAGACUGUUGGCCAGGUCAGCGGAACGCUGCCACUCCACAUGGGCCACUGCUGUUUUGCCUAGGAUUGUUUUAACCAUUGCCGUGGCACUGUUGAGCAUCCACAAACGCUAUUUACGCCAACGCAACUGCGUCGGCUGUGGCUGCGCCCGGGCACAGGGCCGAGCCAACACUGCCUCUGCGGCGCGUGGGACGCCAUUUAGCUCCCUUUGAGUAGGAGCCGUUACUGGGGUUUAUUAGGUUGUCUUGUGUUUAUCUGUUGUUUUUGGUUUCUCAUUUGUCUCCUGCUUAUUAUUUGUCUUUUGUUUGAUUUUGCCACGUGUGGUUUUCCCUUCAUGGGGAAACCCGGUUUUGUUAUUAAUUGAGUUAGUCUUUUGUGUUUGUAGGUGCUCGCAGACCAAGGUGGCGGGAGUGGCGCUUCCGGGAUUUGGGGUCUCCCUUUGUGUGUUAUGUUUUUAAGUUAUCUCCAGUGCCGACCCUCACGUGUGUUUGUGUGAGUGUGUUGAGGGCGUGCACGAGUGAUUGCAGUGCUUACUUUCUUUUGGGACCCCACCCGCGCUGGUCUACCUCCCCCGCCACCGGUCAGAACCCCAUCCUACACCUUUAUUUUCAGUAACGGCUCUUUUUUAUUAUUAUCUUGCAUUUUAUACCUUGUGUGAUUGAAUAAAUAUUGUAAAUGGA